rnacentral:rRNA from 1 species
CCUACGGGAGGCAGCAGUAGGGAAUCUUCCACAAUGGGCGAAAGCCUGAUGGAGCAACGCCGCGUGGGUGAAGAAGGUCUUCGGAUCGUAAAACCCUGUUGUUAGAGAAGAAAGUGCGUGAGAGUAACUGUUCACGUUUCGACGGUAUCUAACCAGAAAGCCACGGCUAACUACGUGCCAGCAGCCGCGGUAAUACGUAGGUGGCAAGCGUUAUCCGGAUUUAUUGGGGGUAAAGGGAACGCAGGCGGUCUUUUAAGUCUGAUGUGAAAGGCUUCGGCUUAACCGGAGUAGUGCAUUGGAAACUGGGAGACUUGAGUGCAGAAGAGGAGAGUGGAACUCCAUGUGUAGCGGUGAAAUGCGUAGAUAUAUGGAAGAACACCAGUGGCGAAAGCGGCUCUCUGGUCUGUAACUGACGCUGAGGUUCGAAAGCGUGGGUAGCAAACAGGAUUAGAUACCCGAGUAGUC